rnacentral:piRNA from 1 species
UAGUGUCAGAAUGGGAAGUGCGAGUUGUU